GCAUCGAUGAAGAACGCAGCCAGCUGCGUGAAUUAAUGUGAAUAGCAGGACACAUCGAACAUCGACAUCUUGAACGCACAUUGCGGCUUCGGGUCACUCCCGGAGCCACGCCUGUCUGAGGGUCGGU
rnacentral:rRNA from 1 species